rnacentral:rRNA from 1 species
CCGGGGAGUCUCGGAGUGAUUAGAGCGGCGGACGGGUGAGUAAUGCGUGGGAAUCUGGCUAGUAGUGGGGGAUAACUUGGGGAAACUCAAGCUAAUACCGCAUAAUAUCUUAGGAUUAAAGGGUGCCUCUUCGUGAAAGCACUUGCUAUUAGAUGAGCCCACGUCGGAUUAGCUAGUUGGUUGGGUAAAGGCUGACCAAGGCGACGAUCCGUAGCUGGUCUGAGAGGAUGAUCAGCCACACUGGGACUGAGACACGGCCCAGACUCCUACGGGAGGCAGCAGUGGGGAAUAUUGGACAAUGGGCGCAAACCUGAUCCAGCCAUGCCGUGUGUGUGAAGAAGGCUUUAGGGUUGUAAAGCACUUUAAGUUGUGAGGAAGUGGCGCGGAUGAAUAGUUUGUGUCAUUGACGUUAGCGACAGAAUAAGCACCGGCUAACUCCGUGCCAGCAGCCGCGGUAAUACGGAGGGUGCGAGCGUUAAUCGGAAUUACUGGGCGUAAAGGGCGCGUAGGUGGUUUGGUAAGUUAGAUGUGAAAUUCCCGGGCUUAACCUGGGGUGGUCAUCUAAAACUGUCAGGCUAGAGUGCGAUAGAGGGGGGUAGAAUUUCCGGUGUAGCGGUGAAAUGCGUAGAGAUCGGAAGGAAUACCGGUGG